rnacentral:rRNA from 1 species
ACCUCUGAACGUUGACCUCGGAUCAGGUAGGACUACCCGC